rnacentral:lncRNA from 1 species
CGCCGCCCGCAGGGAUGGUGCGGAGCCUGCCCAGGCUGCGCUCCAGGCUGCCAGGCGGUUUCCCCCGCGCUUGCAGACUCCGGUCCCAAGUCAGCGGGCUCACCUUGCGGGCGCCUGCAGCACGCGCCGGGCUCUGAAGCUGCGCGCAAACUUCUCCCGACUUCAGCGCAGCCCGCCCCGCCCGCCUCUCCACGCAGCCCAGGCGGCGGCGGCUGCAGCGAGGGCGCGCCAGCUCCUCCCGGGCCCUCCAGCCCCUCCCGGCCCUCCCCUCCGCGCCUCUCCCCUCCCCUCAGUCCCUCCCGGCCCGGGAGAGGGAGGGGCGAGCUGCCGAGCUCUGCGCGCCUCCUCGCCAGCCCCUGCCCCGGCCCCGGCCCGCGAUGGGGCUGCGCUCCGCCGCUGCCCGGCCGAGGGCCAGGCGGGGCUCACCCUCGCGUCCUGGGGCCGAUAGCGGGGCGCGCACCCACUCUUAGCAGGCGAGGGACCCCCGUGGAGGCCCGAAAGGAGACUGCGGUCCGGGCUGGGAGAUUUCCAACUUGUCCCUGGAGACAGCUUUGUGGGCGCCCCGUCCGCUCCCCGGAGGAUGCAAAUUUCGGAGGGUGGUGUGGAUAUGGAAGAGCAGCUUUUGUGUGCAAACUCCACUUCUGUCCCCAAACCGUCCAUUCUCCUUGCUGAGGACGUGAAGUCCUGCCCUGUAGAAAGGGCUUGUGAGGGGUGGGCAUCUGGUCUACAGGUUUGAAUCCCAGCUCUGCAACAUAUUGUAGCUUCCUGCUAAUGCACACCCCACCAGGAGGCAGCAGGUGACAUCUGCAUGGGAGACCUGAGUCCAGUUCCCAUGGAGGGCACCAGCAUAUGAGAUCUCUCUUUGCCGCUCUAAAUACAUAAAUAAAUAAAAUUUUAAAAGGUUUUGUGAGUUCUUG